GUCUCGUGGCGCAAUCGGCCAGCGGCGUUCGGCUGUUAACCGGAAAGGUUGGUGGUUCGAGCCCACCCAGGGACG
rnacentral:tRNA from 1 species